CUACCGUUGACCAUGCCCUCCACCACCACCACUUUGAUUGACAUGUACGACCCCAUCGGGAUCUAUGGCGGCGGUGCUUGGAUCUCGGCGUCGCCUCCCUCGAUACGCGUCCGAUGUGCGAGGUCGUCGUCGCCUCCCUCCCUUCGACACCAGCACCAGAACUAGUCGACGAUGCUGGUCGCCUCCAUCUCUUCUUUACGGCCAUCACGCCGACGAGCAUAGGCGGACUCCCCACCACGGCUUCCUCCCCGCCAAUGGCGAGCAUGGUGUCCCAUCUCUACUAUGCUGGUACAAUACUUUCCUCAGAUCUGUCUUGGUGGAAACCCGAUGCAUGUGAGAUCUUCCUUACCAAGGUUGUUAAUCUUUUCUUUUCUGCUCGAUGAGAACUCAUGAUGCGCGUUGUCCAGUUGUCCGUACGAAGGAAGAUUUCGCCUUCCAUCGAGUUACUACUGAGCGUGUUCCUUAUUGUUUUUUCCUUUUCCUACCAAAUUGAUGCAGGUGCUAUUAGUGAAAGGAUUGGAGACUGGUUCUAGCAGUGGUUGGUUUGUUCGAGGAAUUCCUGGUGCUCGUGAUUUGUAAAGGGUUUCAGCCAGGGCAAGUAAUUAUCAGCUGAGCAAAGGCUACAACAUGCUAGGAGGAGAAGUUUGAAUGGAGGCAGAGAGUACACUUGGAAAUAGAAUGGAAAAAGGAAGAGGAGACAAUGCUGAAGCACAAGAGUGAGAGGCUAGCGGAAGUUAAAGCAAUAAACUAUAAGCAUUUUGAAUGAUUAGGGCCUCGUAUUGUUGGGAACAUUACAACCAUGGGGAAAGCUAAUUUUGGUUGCGAAUUUAGCAUAGAAGCCACUAUAUGCUCAUUUUGGUCGUCUGUCUCAUCCAAAAACAUAUGUAAUUUUCCUUUUGUUGCACAACACCCUUAUAUAUGGGCGUUUCUAGAAACAUAUGUA